rnacentral:lncRNA from 1 species
ACAAGCGUCCUACUUACAAGUCUCUUCUGUAUAAAUUGUAGCAAUAUUCCUUCUAAGCUAUCCAACACAUGAACACAUUGAGAAUAUCAUCAAGAAGGAAAGUCAAAUGUUCUUUUUCCUCUUCCUGAAGCAGUCUCUUCCCGUGAAACUGAUUGUGCCUCACUUAUCCAUUGUCCUUUGAUGAAUUUCAGUUGCAGAUCUCUUUCUAGAAAAUGACAGUUUCAGUCACUCAAUAUGAAGUUCUUGGAACAGUUAAGAUGACAUGGGUCAUGAAUUCGGAAAGGGAAUUAUGAGAAACCAACGCAGGAGAGAGAAUACCCUUUCCAUGUGCUACAGAGAACUCUCACUGUCAUGGCGCAAGGGAAAAUAACCAUUGGAGAUCUUGAAAAGUCGAUAUCUGGAAGGAAGAAGACAUUCAGCCCUGCAGCUUGCCUGGGGUUAACCGCAUACAUUUUCAAACUAGUUCAUAGAAGAGUUCCCCCAGCAUUGGGGAAAACAUUUACUAAUGGUACUGAAAGGUAAAAUAAUUAUUUUUCUUUUUUUCUAUUGGGAUUCUCCCCAUUCUUUCCAUGUCAUGUGUUGCCACUCUGGGGACUGUAGAUUUUGCAGCCAUGGUUUCCUCAAGUAAAGCUGAUGUAAGAUGAAACGAAGAAUGUGGGCUUUCCAUGUGGAUUUAGAAUAG